UACGAAGGGGGCUAGCGUUGCUCGGAAUGACUGGGCGUAAAGGGCGCGUAGGCGGUUUGUACAGUCAGGUGUGAAAUUCCCGGGCUCAACCUGGGGCUGCACUUGAUACGUAGGAACUGGAGUGGGGAAGAGGGUCGUGGAAUUCCCAGUGUAGAGGUGAAAUUCGUAGAUAUUGGGAAGAACACCGGUGGCGAAGGCGGCGACCUGGUCCUUGACUGACGCUGAGGCGCGAAAGCGUGGGGAGCAAACAGG
rnacentral:rRNA from 1 species